UUAUACCUAAACUAAGGUAGAUAGGACCACUU
rnacentral:piRNA from 1 species